AAAGUCGUAACAAGGUAACCGUAGGUGAACCUGCGGUUGGAUCAUUAACAAAUUGAUUUUAGGCCCCUGGUUGCCCCAAAAGGGCGAAAGGGACAACCUAAAAACAUUUGUGUGCACCAUAUCUGUCUUUGGCAGUUCGAGUGUCUCCCGUGUGCCUAACAGCCAUGGGUACCUACCGAGGUUCUCCCAUUUUUGGGUUUGCCAACGUUGGGCUGCCGCCUUUUUGUACAAACCUUUUGCAUGUUAUUUUGCCUGACUUGUAUUUGAUCUUUGAGAUUGAAUUUAAAUACAACUUUUGACAACGGAUCUCUUGGCUCUC
rnacentral:misc_RNA from 1 species